GGAAGGAGAAGACAGGUUCCAGAGCAGAAAAGAGGAGGCAGGUUCCAGAGCAAGAAGAGGGAGUUGGUUCCAGAGCAGAAAUGUGAAGGCGAGUUUCAGCAGUUUCAGAGCAGGAAGAAGGAGUAGCAGGUUCCAGAGCAGGAAGAAGGAGACAGAUUUCAGGGCAAGAUGAAGGAGAAGGCAGUUUCCAGAGCAGGAAGGAGGAGCCAGACCCCAGUGCAACAUGAAAGAGAAGGCAGGUUCCAGAACAAGAAAAGGGAGGUGGUUCCAGAGCAGGAACACGGAGGUAGGUUUUGGCAGUUUCAGAGCAGGAAGGAGGAGAAGGCAGGUUCCAGAGCAGGAAGAAGGAGGCAGGCUGCAGAACAG
rnacentral:lncRNA from 1 species